AUCGAACGCUGGCGGCAGGCCUAACACAUGCAAGUCGAGCGGAUGAAGGGAGCUUGCUCCUGGUUUCAGCGGCGGACGGGUGAGUAAUGCCUAGGAAUCUGCCUGGUAGUGGGGGAUAACGUCCGGAAACGGGCGCUAAUACCGCAUACGUCCUGAGGGAGAAAGUGGGGGAUCUUCGGACCUCACGCUAUCAGAUGAGCCUAGGUCGGAUUAGCUAGUUGAUGGGGUAAAGGCCUACCAAGGCGACGAUCCGUAACUGGUCUGAGAGGAUGAUCAGUCACACUGGAACUGAGACACGGUCCAGACUCCUACGGGAGGCAGCAGUGGGGAAUAUUGGACAAUGGGCGAAAGCCUGAUCCAGCCAUGCCGCGUGUGUGAAGAAGGUCUUCGGAUUGUAAAGCACUUUAAGUUGGGAGGAAGGGCAGUAAGUUAAUACCUUGCUGUUUUGACGUUACCAACAGAAUAAGCACCGGCUAACUUCGUG
rnacentral:rRNA from 1 species